UACGGGGGGGGCAAGCGUUGUUCGGAAUUACUGGGCGUAAAGGGCGCGUAGGCGGUUUGCUAAGUUGGAUGUGAAAACUCUGGGCUUAACCCAGAGCCUGCAUCCAAAACUGGCAAACUUGAGUACUGGAGGGGAAAGCGGAAUUCCUGGUGUAGCGGUGAAAUGCGUAGAUAUCAUGAGGAAUACCAGAGGCGAAGGCGGCUACCUGGACAAUAGCUGACGCUCAGGCACGAAAGCGUGGGGAUCAAACAGG
rnacentral:rRNA from 1 species